UAUUUGCCCUGAGUCAUAGCAAGCUAGAAUUUGGGUCAAGGCACUCUGUUUCCAAAGCCAGAGCAUUCUUAUUUUUAUACCUAGUACAUGGUGCCUUGAAGUUAAAAAUACACAAGAUGGUUUGGACUUGUCCCAUUCAUUCAUUCAGUCAGUCAGUCAUCUGUUAAUUAUUUAAUGCUUACUGAGGCCUACCAUAUGCAAGGCAGAGGGAGAAAGAUGUGACUCUGCCAUUAAGAUGUUCAAAGUCCAAAGAAGGAGUCAGUCAGUAAUAUGGGGUGAAAAGAGCUCUGAGGCUGAAGGCUGGAAAUAGAACAUGGAUUUGACAACCAGGAGGCCCCAUUCUAACAAGAACCAGGCGAAGACGUUUGGGGUGAGUGAGCCUGGAGGCAGACAGACCAAGCAGGGACUGAUCACUCUUCAGCAAGUUCCACAGUGAGCUUCUAGGAGAGGGCACAGCUUUGAUUAAAAAAGGAAAAAUCUUACUUUUCAUAUAAAGAAGAAAAGGAUUUUUAGAGAUACAGCCCUUCUCUGAAGGUAUUACAGGCGUGCAAGAAACAAUUGCAGCAUCACAGGGACACAGCAUCCAUGGGAUGUGGAAGGUGAUGAGGAGACGGUGCAAGGUGGUGACCUGGAGAAGCCUGGAAGGGAAUGAUGGUCUUCAGUGGAUGGAAAGGAAGAGAAAGGGCCCUUCGGAGGGAACAGCAGGCACAAGACCAUGAGGCCAGGAGGGACCGGGAACCAAUGGGAUGAUGUUUCAUGUCAUCUCUCUCCCCGUCCUCCCUCUGCCCCUCUCCCAGGUCUUUCUCCUCCUACUCUGCCCUGAAUGAGCCAUGCCACGUGAAUUUGUUUUGUUCCAUUCUGUCCAUGGGACAGCCACAUCCUCCUUCCAGGAUGCUUCCCUUGGUCCUCAGGGAACUGGAAAACCUCGAGGGCUGGCGUCUCAGGCAUUCUUAGAAGGCCGCAGUGGCCAGGAGGCCUUCCUGCUUUGUCCGGGGAUCCUGUGACUCUUGGGCACAAACCCAGAGCAGCCCUCACUCAAUUGCUUCUUUGAUUUUCUCCCAGUUGACUGUCAGGGAUUGUUGGCCAGUGGGAGGGUGCUGAGUGGUGAGCCGUGUGGGGAAACAAUUAGUGCGUUUCUCUCUGCCAGAAGUCCAAUCUCUUUUCGGACAUGGCUGUACAGAGAGCAAUUGGACCCCUUCCGUUUAAGACAGGGCCUAAACCAGUUUGCUUAAUGGGCAACUUCAGGUACAUCUAUAAUUUCGUCCCUCUGGGUGGUGCUUGUAUAUCUUUUGGGGUAUGGCCAUCCCUUUUUUUGUCAUGUCUUUGGCAUCUUAAACAUUUUACACUGAUAUGUCUAAGAGUCUUUCCUAUUCCUAAUGAGUAUACGUCACGUUUGCAGCCUUUUCUAAUUAAUGAGCUAAUGCUCCUGGUGAGUUUCAGAGUGUGUGAGUGAGUGACAGAAGUUCAGGCACAAGAGCUACACAGACCAGGGUUUGAAUCCCAGUUCUGGCAGUUACUGGGACAUAGUAUUUAACCUCCACGACUUGAGUUUGUCCAAGCAUGGUGGUUAAUUUUGUGUAUCAACCUGACUGGACCACAGGAUCCCCAGAUAUUUGAUUAAACAUUAUUUCAGGGAGUGUCUGUGGGGGUGUUUCUGGAUGAGGUUAGCAUUUGAAUUGGUAGACUGAGUAAAACCCGUUGCCCUGCCCAGUGUGAGCGGACCUCAUCUAAUGCCUUGAGAGCCUGAAAAGGACAAAAGGGUCGAAGAAGGGAAAAUUCACUCUCUUAGCUUGAUUGCUGAGCUAGAAUUUGGUCUUCUCCUGCCCUUGGACUAGGACUCUCACCCUUGGCUCUCUGGUUCUCAGGCCUUCAGACUUGAACUAUGCCACUGGCUUUUCUGAGUCUCCUCCAGCUUACAGAUGGUAGAUUGUGGGACUACUCAGUCUCCACAAUGAGCAAACUUCCCAUAAUAAAUCCAUUUAUCUGUCUAUCUCCGUAUGUCUCCUAUUUGUUCUGCUUCUCUGGAACGCUGACUAAUAUACAAAGUAUAAAAUAGGGUUGAUAAUCUCGAUCAAUAAUUCUCAGAAGUAAUCCCAGAUGGAUGUCGUAAAGAAUAACAACGUACUAGCCCAUGGUAGGCUCACAGGAGGGGGAAGUU